GCAGGGGUGGGCAGAGAGGGCCUCUCCUAGGAAGUGAUGCUGGAACAGACACGAUGAAGAGAAACAGCAGAGCAGCACCACCGGGGCUGACUUCCGGGGCUCGGAGAGGAGUCGGUCGGUCGGGGUCUGUGCCCACAGAGACAUGAGGCUGAGCUGGGUCCAGGUCCUGACAGUACUGUCCAUCUGCCCGAGUGCUGGGGCCAUAGCCACAGGGGCCUAGGGCAAAAGGAAGCUGCAGAUCGGGGUCAAGAAACGGGUGGACCACUGUCCCAUCAAAUCUCGGAAAUGGGAUGUCCUGCACAUGCACUACACGGAGAAGCUGGAAGAUGGGACGGAGUUUGACAGCAGCCUGCCCCAGAAGCCCUUCGUCUUCUCCCUUGGCACAGGCGAGGUCAUCAAGGGCUGGGACCAGGGGCUGCUGGGGAUGUGUGAGGCAGAAAAGAGCAAGCUGGUGAUCCCAUCCAAGCUGGGGUAUGGAGAGCUGGGAGCUCCCCCAAAGAUUCCAGGUGGUGCAACCCUGGUGUUCGAGGUGGAGCUUCUCAAAAUCGAGUGACAUCAGAGCUGUAGCCAGACUGGGGAGGGGCAGGGCGAGAGGCCCCCAUCCAGGGACCAGACUGUUCUAAAAAAACAAAAAACAAAAAAACCUUAGAAGCCC